rnacentral:lncRNA from 1 species
CAUUUUGAUCUGAAAAAACACUAAAGAAUGAGUAUUUCUUCUCAAGAACGAACACCACAAAGCCUUUCCUCAUCUAUUCAGAACCUCAUCUAUUCAGAACCUCAUCUAUUCAGAAUUUAAAUACAUUAUUUAAGAAGAGACAAGGAAAAAAAGAUGGAGGGAUGAUUUUUGUGCCAUUUCAGGGUGACAGAAAAGGAAACAAGAAGAGCUGGAAUUGACCUGGAUCCUUGUGGGAAAUAUUCAGUGAUGGAUGGAAGCAGAGGGAGAAAGGACCAAAAUGAAGCCAGGAGGGACAAGAUGGCUGGAAUGUUUGGUUCUGAGGAUUCAUGAUUGUCCUUAACUCACGCGAACUGAACUCUCGCUUGCCUGUCUUCCUGGGGCUUGUGUAAGAACAUCCUACAGAAAAAUAUUAACAACGCAAGUGAUCUUCACUGUGUUUAAUGAUUCAUUGAUUGUAAAAGAUGUUUUACCUGGGAUAACAAUGAGUGUGUAUUCCUGGAGCCUAAACUCACUGACCUGGAAGGGGGCCCCGAGAAGUGUGCUAAGUGGACAAAGGAAGCCUGGCUAGAGUUUAUAUUUUUCUAACUAGAUAAUUGAGUGAACUAAAAGGUCUUUUAUUAUCCUUAUGUGGAUUACGUACUUUGCAGGAUAUGCAUAGUCAUUAUUAAAACCA